rnacentral:lncRNA from 1 species
UAAUGGAGUAUAAAUAGCAGCCGAGACUGGACGGUGCUCUCUCAACUCGAUGUCCAAACUGUAAUUUGGUACCAGUCUGAUCCAGCUAAGACUUAGAACAUUCAGAACCAUAUUGGUUUAAAUGUUGAAUGUGGGUUCGGGGGGCAAGCAUUACUGUUAAAGCCUGAGCUGGAUCAGAAAAACUGCAGCAUCAUCAUCACUGAGCUGAAGGAGUCAGACUCUAAAUCAACCUAAAGCAGCUAUAAUUGUUACAGAUAUGGCACAAGAGUUGAAUACCAUGAUCCAUACCACUGUUGCGAUUAUCACAGUCAAUUCUACUGUUGCGAGUACCACGGUCAAUUCUACUGUUGCGAGUACCACGGUCAAUUCCACUGUGCCAGACUGUGUGAAACACACACACACAACUACAAAAGACCUGAUACAAAAUGAUCUACUAAGUAAUCUUUAUCAACCACAAGUUGUCAUUGCAUUUUUGAUCGGGAUGCUUCUCUCAGCAACCAUCUGCUGUUUGGUUAUAAAAUGUCAAAGAAAAAAACGCAGAGGAUCCAGAAAUCUGUCUGAAAACCUGGAGAUGCUGAACGCUCAGGCAGUUCCACUGGUCGGAGUUGGCCUCACUGUUAGUGAUCAUGAUACUCACGACCAGGAGGAAGCGGCAUACUCCAACAUUGAUUUCUCCAAGUUGAAGAGGACGAGCCCUACAGAGACCAAAGAGACACAAAGACCCACAGAGACGGAGUACGCUGAAAUCCAGAGAGAGACGAUCAAGGAGGUGGAUGACAGUAAUUGCGAGGAAGGUGAAGUGUCAGAGGUCAACAGAGAGAGCUUUGUGAUGGUAGAGGUGGACAAGGAGGCAGAGCAGUGUGAGGUAGCGCAGGCGGAGGGAGGUGAGGACUCAGGCCUGUAUUCUCAAGUAAAUAAAAAUCUGAGCUCUAACGUGAUUUAGCUUAGUGAAGUCAUAUGAACAAUACAGGGUUGAUAUAGUGCAGAAAUUCUCGUUCAGAUGUGAUGCAGUGCAGUUGGGUGUGUUUUGCAUGCUAGUGUGUUUAUGAGGCUGAUGCAAAUUUCCUCAGAGAAAAGAAACCAUGUAUGUAGCAAUAUCAAGACCCAAAUGUCAUAUACUGCUCACACAUUAAUCCACAUAAAGGCAGCAUCACUUGGCAGGUCACUCAUCAGGUCACUCUAUGUAUAAGUAUUGAAUGUAUAUGGAAAAAAGUAAAAAGGUGUUGAAUACAUCACUUCCUGGAAAUGUUUUUAAUCAGCAAGAAGCCUCUUGUUUAUGUCGAUGUUCAGCUUUUCAUCACCUCUAGAAAAUGAAAUAAUGCAGUCAAAUUCCUCUUAAAUAGGUUAGUGUAAGAGCUCAUGUGUAAUUAGAAUCAGAAAUUGUGUAGAAUUUGAAAUUUGUGUGCUUUUCCCCUUUUUUCAGGGGUUUCCCUUCUCUAUGCUCUUUGAUAUAAGUGACAGUGUUUCUGAAACUCCUUCUCUGGUCGAAGUGCUCCAUAAAUUCAGUAAAUAUAUUUGAAAAUGUCUAACUUGUUGUCACCUUCUUACCGCUGUGGAGACUUCAGUCCACUUCAGUCCAACAACAAUGCUGUAGCAAAUUGUGGACGGAAAGGAAGUUACAAAAGACGCUGUAAAUGAACUGGUGCAAUUUAAGGAAGCACCCCAAAAGAUGCUGUACACAAUGUAUAAAAG